rnacentral:rRNA from 1 species
CGGGAAUUUUGCGCAAUGGACGAAAGUCUGACGCAGCAACGCCGCGUGAGGGAUGACGGCCUUCGGGUUGUAAACCUCUUUUCUCAGGGAAGAUGAUGACGGUACCUGAGGAAUAAGCCACGGCUAACGACGUGCCAGCAGCCGCGGUAAUACGUAGGUGGCGAGCGUUGUCCGGAUUUACUGGGCGUAAAGAGCGCGCAGGCGGUCGUUCAAGUCGCGUGUGAAAACUCCCGGCUCAACUGGGGAGGGUCACGCGAUACUGAUCGACUCGAAGGCAGGAGAGGGUAGUGGAAUUCCCGGUGUAGUGGUGAAAUGCGUAGAUAUUGGGAGGAACACCAGUGGCGAAGGCGGCUCACUGGACCGGAACUGACGCUGAGGCGCGAAAGCGUGGGGAGCAAA